GACGAACGCUGGCGGCGUGCUUAACACAUGCAAGUCGAACGGAAAGGCCCUGCUUUUGUGGUGUGCUCGGGUGGCGAACGGGUGAGUAACACGUGAGUAACCUGCCCUUGACUUUGGGAUAACUUCAGGAAACUGGGGCUAAUACCGGAUAGGAGCUCCUGCUGCAUGGUGGGGGUUGGAAAGUUUCGGCGGUUGGGGAUGGACUCGCGGCUUAUCAGCUUGUUGGUGGGGUAGUGGCUUACCAAGGCUUUGACGGGUAGGCGGCCUGAGAGGGUGACCGGCCACAUUGGGACUGAGAUACGGCCCAGUCUCCUACGGGAGGCAGCAGGGGGGAAUAUUGCACAAUGGGCGGAAGCCUGAUGCAGCAACGCUGCGUGCGGGAUGACGGCCUUCGGGUUGUAAACCGCUUUCGCCUGUGACGAAGCGUGAGUGACGGUAAUGGGUAAAGAAGCACCGGCUAACUACGUG
rnacentral:rRNA from 1 species